rnacentral:rRNA from 1 species
GACGAACGCUGGCGGCGUGCUUAACACAUGCAAGUCGAACGAAGUGGCGAACGGGUGAGUAACGCGUAAUCAACCUGCCCUUCAGAGGGGGACAACAGUUGGAAACGACUGCUAAUACCGCAUACUGAGGGAGGGGAUUGCGUCUGAUUGGCUAGUGGGAGGGGUAACGGCCCACCAAGGCGAUGAUCAGUAGCCGGUCUGAGAGGGCGACCGGCCACAUGGGGACUGAGGUACGCACCAAACUCCUACGGGAGGCAGCAGGGGGGAAUAUUGCACAAGGGGGGAAACCCGGAUGCAGCAACGCCGCGUGCGGGAUGACGGCCUUCGGGUUGUAAACCGCUUUCAGCCAUGACGCGGGAGUGGCAGAAGAAGCACCGGCUAACUACGUGCCAGCAGCCGCGGUAAUUC